UGGGGAAUAUUGCACAAUGGGCGCAAGCCUGAUGCAGCCAUGCCGCGUGUAUGAAGAAGGCCUUCGGGUUGUAAAGUACUUUCAGCGGGGAGGAAGGGCGUAAAGUUAAUACCUUUGCUCAUUGACGUUACCGGCAGAAGAAGCACCGGCUAACUCCGUGCCAGCAGCCGCGGUAAUACGGAGGGUGCAAGCGUUAAUCGGAAUUACUGGGCGUAAAGCGCACGCAGGCGGUUUGUUAAGUCAGAUGUGAAAUCCCCGGGCUCAACCUGGGAACUGCAUCUGAUACUGGCAAGCUUGAGUCUCGUAGAGGGGGGUAGAAUUCCAGGUGUAGCGGUGAAAUGCGUAGAGAUCUGGAGGAAUACCGGUGGCGAAGGCGGCCCCCUGGACGAAGACUGACGCUCAGGUGCGAAAGCGUGGGGAGCAAACA
rnacentral:rRNA from 1 species